rnacentral:lncRNA from 1 species
UAAAACAAAAGAAAGAACAAAUAACAAAUGAAAAUAAAUACCCAAAAACCAGUCAAAUGUGAAACUGGUGUCAGGGGUAUGUUCUCCAUGUUGAGCCCCUUCUGUGGAAUAUGACAGUGUCUCUAUUUCGGGUAAAGGAAAGACCAAAAUAACUUUCCAAGAUGAAAAGCUAAGAGUGCUGAUCUCAUCACAGACAUAGCCAGCUCUUCAGUUCAGACCACCUGGAAACCCUCCCCAUGUCUUUUCAGAACAAUGUCCUAAGAACCAUAGGGGAAGUGGCCAUAAAAACCAUCUUUCCUUUGCAGACUGGGGUGGGGACUCUGGCCAAUGCCAUUCUGUUCUUCCAUAAUAUCUUUCCCAUCUUGACUGAGCAUCAAAUGAGGCCCACACACAAGAUUCUCACCCAC